GUGGGAAACAGCAGAUCACCACCCUCCAGCUAACAACAACUCUCCAUCGAUCAAGGCCUCAACGAAAAAGACCACCUUCAGCAUUCACUCCGCAUUACUCCCGGCAGAGACAGGUGUCUUGUCCUACUAACACCCCACCUUGAUGUGGUUGACAGGCCUCAAUGGACAGUGAGACAGUGAUCUACCUUUGGACUGGCACCGACCAGACAUGGACACUGAA